AGCGCAGUUGGGAGCGCACAACACUGGCAGUGUUGGGGUCAGGGGUUCGAAUCCCCUA
rnacentral:tRNA from 1 species